rnacentral:lncRNA from 1 species
CCUACAAAAUCUCAUCAAACUGCAAAUAUGAUUUGUGUCAAGACAAGAUUAUUGAAUGCCUGGCAAAGUAAUUACUCCUACACAGAGAAAAAUAAGAUCUUUCUUUUAACCACUUCAGGGAAAUUCAUCAAACUUGGCUGUACUCUGAAAAUGUGGUGGGGGUUUGAAAGUGAGGAGGUUUUCUUCAGCUUGUAGCUGUACUUAGUGCAGCUAAAAGAAACAAGACUUAGAAAAAUCAGCACAGACCCAAUUCUCAGCCUCUUAGUGUAAAGUGGCAAUAGGUCUUUUGCCCAAUUAACUCGUGCAGAGUCAGGCUCCUAGUUUAAAGGUAUGAAUGCUAGACAUUUUAUGGCUCUUGCUGAAUAUGUAAAAUGAAAUUAAGAAUAAUGAAUUUCCUCUAUGAACAUGAUUUUUAAUGGUUGGCGAAUCCUUGCAAAGUAAGUAAAUAAGGACCUUACCAGAAGUGCCACACUUUGAGGCUGCUGGAUGGCAUAUAUGGAUUUGCUUUUCUUAAUCACUUUCUUCAAACAUCUUCAAAGUGGAUACUCAGAUGACUAUAGGUUGACAUGGGAUAUGCUCAACAAGGAGCACCCAGAGUAUUUAAAGUUCAGCAAAGUAUUUUGUAAUACUCACUGGAAAUAGCAGCGAAGGUUUUGCCUCUGCUGGGAACCCAGAGUGUCUCUGUGCCAAUUCUGUGCAGGUUGGUCUUUACAACUAUGGAGGAUUUUGGAUGGCAAACAAGGCUGCAGAGCAGAUGUUUUAUGCGGGAGGCCACCCUGGUCAGCUCCCACUGUACUGUGCCAGAAAAAUCAGCAGAAAUUCAUGUUGCACUGUGAGCAACAUUCGCAUGUCACUGUGUCAUCUAGCUCCCAGAAGAGGAGUGUUACAUGAUGGUGAAAUAAGCAGAGAAAACUGGAUAGCGGCUGGACCAUAUGGUGAAGGGAGCGGCUCCCCAUUAAAGAAACAGAGAAAACAACAGAGCAUUGGAGAAGGACAGAGGGGAAAAGAGGAGCCAGGAUAAAAUGGAAGGGUCUGGAUGAUA